CGGUCGACCGGCGCACGGGUGAGUAACGCGUAUCCAACCUGCCCACCACUUGGGGAGUAACCUUGCGAAAGUAAGACUAAUACCCAAUGAUAUCUCUAGAAGACAUCUGAAAGAGAUUAAAGAUUUAUCGGUGAUGGGUGGGGAUGCGUCUGAUUAGCUUGUUGGCGGGGUAACGGCCCACCAAGGCAACGAUCAGUAGGGGUUCUGAGAGGAAGGUCCCCCACAUUGGAACUGAGACACGGUCCAA
rnacentral:rRNA from 1 species